UUCCGGUUGAUCCCGCCGGACCCCACUGCUAUCGAGGUGGGACUAAGCCAUGCUAGUUGAGCGCACAGAACUAUGUCUGUGAGCGGCACACUGCUCAGUAACACGUAGCUAACCUACCCUUAGGACGUGGACAACCCCGAGAAAUUGGGGCUAAUCCGCGAUAGAUGUAUUGUCCUGGAAUGGUAUUACGUCUAAAGGUAUCCCAUACAUGUUUGGUAUAUGCCUAAGGAUGGGGCUGCGGCCGAUCAGGCUGUUGGUGAGGUAAUGGCUCACCAAACCUUUGACCGGUACGGGCCAUGAGAGUGGUAGCCCGGAGAUGGACACUGAGACAAGGGUCCAGGCCCUACGGGGCGCAGCAGGCGCGAAACCUCCUCAAUGCACUUACGUGCGAAGGGGCCACCUCGAGUGCCACCUGAUGAAGGUGGCUUUUCCUAGGUCUAAAAAGCCUUGGGAAUAAGAGGGGGGCAAGACUGGUGUCAGCCGCCGCGGUAACACCAGCCCCUCGAGUGGUGGGGAUGAUUAUUGGGCCUAAAGCGUCCGUAGCCUGCCGUGUAAGUUUCCCGUUAAAUCCAGCGUCUUAAGCGUUGGACCGCGGGAAAUACUGUACGGCUAGAGAGUGGGAGAGGUCAGCGGUAUUCUGGGGGUAGGGGCGAAAUCCUUUGAUCCCCGGAGGACCACCAGUGGCGAAGGCUGCUGUCUAGAACACGUCUGACGGUCAGGGACGAAAGCUGGGGUAGCGAACCGGAUUAGAUACCCGGGUAGUCCCAGCCGUAAACGAUGCAUGCUAGUGUUGGGUUGGCCACGAGCCACCCCAGUGCCGCAGGGAAGCCGUUAAGCAUGCCGCCUGGGAAGUACGAUCGCAAGGUUGAAAUUUAAAGGAAUUGGCGGGGGAGCACCACAGGGGUGAAGCCUGCGGUUCAUUGGAGUCAACGCCGGA
rnacentral:rRNA from 1 species